UAUCCCUACGGGAGGCAGCAGUGAGGAAUAUUGGUCAAUGGGCGCGAGCCUGAACCAGCCAAGUCGCGUGAGGGAAGACGGUCCUAUGGAUUGUAAACCUCUUUUGUCGGGGAGCAAAAGACGCCACGCGUGGCGUUCCGAGAGUACCCGAAGAAAAGCAUCGGCUAACUCCGUGCCAGCAGCCGCGGUAAUACGGAGGGUGCGAGCGUUAUCCGGAUUUAUUGGGUUUAAAGGGUGCGCAGGCGGAAGACCAAGUCAGCGGUAAAAUUGAGAGGCUCAACCUCUUCGAGCCGUGGAAACUGGCU
rnacentral:rRNA from 1 species